AUUGAACGCUGGCGGCAUGCCUUACACAUGCAAGUCGAACGGCAGCGGGGGAGAAGCUUGCUUUUCCUGCCGGCGAGUGGCGAACGGGUGAGUAAUACAUCGGAACGUGCCCUGUAGUGGGGGAUAACUAGUCGAAAGAUUAGCUAAUACCGCAUACGACCUGAGGGUGAAAGUGGGGGACCGCAAGGCCUCAUGCUAUAGGAGCGGCCGAUGUCUGAUUAGCUAGUUGGUGGGGUAAAGGCCUACCAAGGCGACGAUCAGUAGCUGGUCUGAGAGGACGAUCAGCCACACUGGGACUGAGACACGGCCCAGACUCCUACGGGAGGAAGCAGUGGGGAAUUUUGGACAGUGGGCGAAAGCCUGUUCCAGCAAUGCCGCGUGUGUGAAGAAGGCCUUCGGGUUGUAAAGCACUUUUGUCCGGAAAGAAAUGGCUCUGGUUAAUACCUGGGGUCGAUGACGGUACCGGAAGAAUAAGGACCGGCUAACUACGUGCCAGCCGCCGCGGUAA
rnacentral:rRNA from 1 species